rnacentral:tRNA from 1 species
ACUUUUUUAGUAUAGUAGCAGUACACGUGACUUCCAAUCACAUAGUCUUAGUUAAAACCUAGGAAGAAGUA